AUACUACUCCCUCCGUCCCAAAAUAAGUGACUCAAAACUUACUCAACUUUGUACUAAUGUUAGUACAAAGUUGAGUAAGUUUUGAGUCACUUAUUUUGGGACGGAGGGAGUAGUAU
rnacentral:pre_miRNA from 1 species